rnacentral:rRNA from 1 species
GACGAACGCUGGCGGCGUGCUUAACACAUGCAAGUCGAACGGAAAGGCCCUGCUUUUGUGGGGUGCUCGAGUGGCGAACGGGUGAGUAACACGUGAGUAACCUGCCCUUGACUUUGGGAUAACUUCAGGAAACUGGGGCUAAUACCGGAUAGGAGCUCCUGCUGCAUGGUGGGGGUUGGAAAGUUUCGGCGGUUGGGGAUGGACUCGCGGCUUAUCAGCUUGUUGGUGGGGUAGUGGCUUACCAAGGCUUUGACGGGUAGCCGGCCUGAGAGGGUGACCGGCCACAUGGGGACUGAGAUACGGCCCAGAGUCGUACGGGAGGCAGCAGUGGGGAAUAUUGCACAAUGGGCGGAAGCCUGAUGCAGCAACGCCGCGUGCGGGAUGUCGGCCUUCGGGGUGUGAACCGCUUUCGCCUGUGACGAAGCGUGAGUGACGGUAAUGGGUAAAGAAGCACCGGCUAACUACGUG